AACGAACGCUGGCGGCAUGCCUAACACAUGCAAGUCGAACGAGACCUUCGGGUCUAGUUGCGCACGUGUGCGUAACGCGUGGGAAUCUGCCCUUGUGUUCGGAAUAACAGUUGGAAACGACUGCUAAUACCGGAUGAUGACGUAAGUCCAAAGAUUUAUCGCCCAAGGAUGAGCCCGCGUAGGAUUAGCUAGUUGGUGAGGUAAAGGCUCACCAAGGCGACGAUCCUUAGCUGGUCUGAGAGGAUGAUCAGCCACACUGGGACUGAGACACGGCCCAGACUCCUACGGGAGGCAGCAGUGGGGAAUAUUGGACAAUGGGCGAAAGCCUGAUCAAGCAAUGCCGCGUGAGUGAUGAAGGCCUUAGGGUUGUAAAGCUCUUUUACCCGGGAUGAUAAUGACAGUACCGGGAGAAUAAGCUCCGGCUAACUACGUG
rnacentral:rRNA from 1 species